rnacentral:rRNA from 1 species
UACGUAGGGUGCAAGCGUUGUCCGGAAUUAUUGGGCGUAAAGAGCUCGUAGGCGGUCUGUCGCGUCGGCUGUGAAAUCCCGAGGCUCAACCUCGGGUCUGCAGUCGAUACGGGCAAACUGGAGUGUUGCAGGGGAGACUGGAAUUCCUGGUGUAGCGGUGAAAUGCGCAGAUAUCAGGAGGAACACCAGCGGCGAAGGCGGCGCUCGUGGGCCGGAACUGACGCUGAGGAGCGAAAGCGUGGGUAGCAAACAGG